ACGCUAAUACCGCAUACGAUCUACGGAUGAAAGCGGGGGACUCGCAAGAGCCUCGCGCGAUUGGAGCGGCCGAUAUCAGAUUAGGUAGUUGGUGGGGUAAAGGCUCACCAAGCCAACGAUCUGUAGCUGGUCUGAGAGGACGACCAGCCACACUGGAACUGAGACACGGUCCAGACUCCUACGGGAGGCAGCAGUGGGGAAUUUUGGACAAUGGACGCAAGUCUGAUCCAGCCAUUCCGCGUGCAGGAUGAAGGCCCUCGGGUUGUAAACUGCUUUUGUACGGAACGAAAAGGUUUCUAUUAAUACUAGGAGCUCAUGACGGUACCGUAAGAAUAAGCACCGGCUAACUACGUG
rnacentral:rRNA from 1 species